GCCACCUUAGCUCAGUUGGUAGAGCAGCACUUUCGUAAAGUGAAGGUCCCCGGUUCAAAUCCGGGAGGUGGCUCAA
rnacentral:tRNA from 1 species